rnacentral:lncRNA from 1 species
CAAGCUUUCUCUUCCAUCACUAACUAAAUAAAAUACAAAACCUGCAAAUAUGUAGAGAGAGCUUGCAAGAUCAAGUAGUAAAUCAUGAUGAUGGAACAUUGGAACUAUAUAAGAUUAAAUCCAUUUCUGAAGUGCUAAGUAUGCUUCACCAUUAAGACAGCAUGUGUUCAGAAAUAGAAGGCAUGGCAGGAUAGAACAUGAGCCCUUUAGUGAUGGAAGGCAUGCAAUGAUGCAAGUGAAUGUGGAUGAUUGAGUUAAUGAAAGGUAGAAGGAUGCCAUUUGUGAGUAGAAGGUAGUCAGACAUGCAGGUAGGUAAGCAUAGAAUUCGAAGAGCCAAGAUACAAGCUCUUUU